rnacentral:rRNA from 1 species
GGUCUUUUGAUUUUAAUUUAAGAUCAGACCUGCCCAUUGAUUUUUAUGAAUUAAAAGGCUGCGGUAUUUUAACUGUACGAAGGUAGCAUAAUCAUUUGUCUUUUAAUUGAAGGCUAGUAUGAAUGGUUUGAUGAAAGAUAAACUUUCUUUUUUUAAUUAUUUUGAACUUAAUUUUUUAGUUAAAAAGCUAAAAUUUUUUUAUAGGACGAGAAGACCCUAUAGAAGUUUACUUUAUUUAUUAAUUAUUGUUUUUUGUUUAUUAAACAAUUUUUUAGAAUAUAAAGUUUUGUUGGGGUGACAUUAAAAUUUAUUUAACUUUUAAUAUUUUAUUCAUUAAUUUAUGUUUUUUUGAUCCAGAAUUUUUGAUUAUAAGAUUAACUUACCUUAGGGAUAACAGCGUAAUUUUUUCGGAGAGUUCAUAUC